rnacentral:lncRNA from 1 species
AUGUUUCAAAGACCUGUAUUACAGGUACUUCAUCAGUUUGUAAGGCAUGAGUCCAAAACAGCUAGCAGUUUGGUUCUUGAAAGAUCCCUGAAUUGUAUGCAGUUACUUGGACAAGUGGGUUAGGACCUUAUCAUGAGACAGAUGGAAGGAAAUACUCCAGCACAAUAUUUUCUCUAGCAACAAAUGAGAUGUGGUGAUCAGGGGACAGGAAAGUGUACCAAAUGGGUGAUGUCUGUCAAGAUGACAUGGCACAGAAUAUCAGCAUUCUAGCCAGGCCCUGGAGAUGUGGCACAUCAGUCUCGAAUUUAUGCAGAAGAAAAAGUAGACUAUGGUGAAUACACGGAUAAAAAUAAUGGGAGGCGACAAGCAACAACAAUCAUAAUAGCUGAUAGUAGGAUAUUUCUGAGUGACCAGACAAAGGAGAAG